CAGAAAAUAGCAACUGAGACAUCCCAUUCACCCAAUACCCUCUAUAUAAAAGAGUAUUAAUAAAAUAACUCAUUACAUGAUGACUUUUGCAUCUAUUGCUUGCAAAAGGUACUUGGAAACCAACAGAACAUUGCUUCACGUAUACUACAAGCAGCAGAUCUUCAGACCACACCAGGAAAUUGGAGGGGGGUGCCAGUGGUAAAAACCUCCUUUUGGAGUUAGUGAAUUAUCUUAAGGAAUAGAAAACUACUCACAGCACUCAGAAGACAAGCACACAAGUUGACAUCUAAAUUAAACUUCAUUUUGGAAAUGCUGUCUAGAUCCAUUUUUAAGCAUCAAGAAAAUUGAGCUACUACUCCAGUUUAAUACUACUGCAAUUUAUUAUUAACACCUGGAAUUCCUUCUCUCUCUUUGAGCUACAACUCCAGCUCUGUGCCCCUUUAAGUAUAUUUCUCUAUACAGUGCAAUUUAAAAAGUUACAUUGCCUCCACUAGCCCACA